AUAGUAGUGUCAGAGUUUGAUCCUGGCUCAGGACGAACGCUGGCGGCGUGCCUAACACAUGCAAGUCGAGCGAAGUUUUUAAGAAGAUUUCUUCGGAAUGAAACUUUAAUUAUCUUAGCGGCGGACGGGUGAGUAACGCGUGAGAAACCUGCCUUUUACAAAGGGAUAGCCUCGGGAAACUGGGAUUAAUACCUUAUGACACUUAAAUGUCGCAUGGGAUUUAAGUCAAAGCGUAAAGCGGUAAAAGAUGGUCUCGCGUCCCAUUAGUUAGUUGGUGAGAUAACUGCCCACCAAGGCGACGAUCAGUAGCCGACCUGAGAGGGUGAUCGGCCACAUUGGAACUGAGACACGGUCCAA
rnacentral:rRNA from 1 species